rnacentral:rRNA from 1 species
CCUACGGGAGGCAGCAGUGAGGAAUAUUGGUCAAUGGGCGGAAGCCUGAACCAGCCAAGUCGCGUGAGGGAAUAAGGCCCUACGGGUCGUAAACUUCUUUUGCCGGGGAGCAAGGGCGGGGACGUGUCCCGGCCCGGAGAGUACCCGGAGAAAAAGCAUCGGCUAACUCCGUGCCAGCGGCCGCGGUAAUAAGGAGGAUGCGAGCUUUAUCCGGAUUUUUUGGGUUAAAAGGGUGCGUAGGCGGGCGUUUAAGUCGGCGGUAAACAUUCGGGGUUCAACCCCGUCCUGCCGGUGAAACUGGGGGCCUUGAGUGGGCGGGAAGAAGGCGGAAUGCGUGGUGUAGCGGUGAAAUGCAUAGAUAUCACGCAGAACCCCGAUUGCGAAGGCAGCCUUCCGGCGCCCUACUGACGCUGAGGCACGAAAGUGCGGGGAUCGAACAGGAUUAGAUACCCCAGUAGUC